rnacentral:rRNA from 1 species
GGACCCGCACAAGUAGUGGAGCAUGUGGUUUAAUUCGAAGAUACGCGCAGAACCUUACCAACACUUGACAUGUUCGUCGCGACUUUAAGAGAUUAAAGUUUUCGGUUCGGCCGGACGAAACACAGGUGCUGCAUGGCUGUCGUCAGCUCGUGUCGUGAGAUGUUGGGUUAAGUCCCGCAACGAGCGCAACCCUCACUUUUAGUUGCCAUCAUUAAGUUGGGCACUCUGAAAGAACUGCCAGUGAUAAGCUGGAGGAAGGUGGGGAUGACGUCAAGUCCUCAUGGCCCUUACGUGUUGGGCUACACACGUGCUACAAUGGCACUUACAAUGGGAUGCAAAGAGGUGACUCCUAGCUAAUCCCAAAAAUGUGUCUCAGUUCGGAUUGCACUCUGCAACUCGAGUGCAUGAAGCUGGAAUUGCUAGUAAUCGC